GGGCGUAUGGUUUGGGGGUAUAAUAUCUCAUUUGCAAUGGAUCUUGUUUGUGGGUUUAUGAAAACUUGAGAUGGUCCUGGGUUCGAUUCCCAGUACGUCCA